rnacentral:rRNA from 1 species
GACGAACGCUGGCGGCGUGCCUAAUACAUGCAAGUAGGACGCAGUUGCGAACGGGUGAGUAACGCGUAGGUAACUACCUAUUAGAGGGGGAUAACUAUUGGAAACGAUAGCUAAUACCGCAUACUAGUAGAUGGACCUGCGUUGUAUUAGCUAGUAGGUUGGGUAAUGGCCUACCUAGGCAACGAUACAUAGCCGACCUGGGGGGGUGGUCGGCCAAACUGGGACUGAGGAACGGGCCAAACUCCUACGGGAGGCAGCAAGAGGGAAACUUCCGCAAUGGGGGGAACCCUGACCAAGGAACGCCGGCUGAGUGGAGAAGGUUUUCGGAUCGUAAAGCUAUGUUGUUAAGGGAGCGGUACUUAACCAGAAAGGGACGGCUAACUACGUGCCAGCAGCCGCGGUAAUAC